rnacentral:rRNA from 1 species
ACUGCUCAGUAACACGUGGACAACCUGCCCUUAGGUUGGGUAUAAACCCGGGAAACUGGGUAUAAUACCCGAUAGGUCUCGAUUGCUGGAAUGCAUCGAGAUUUAAAGCUCCGGCGCCUAAGGAUGGGUCUGCGGCCUAUCAGGUAGUAGUGGGUGUAGCGUACCUACUAGCCUACGACGGGUACGGGUUGUGAGAGCAAGAGCCCGGAGAUGGAUUCUGAGACACGAAUCCAGGCCCUACGGGGUGCAGCAGGCGCGAAAACUUUACAAUGCUGGCAACAGCGAUAAGGGAACCUCGAGUGCCAGGUUACAAAUCUGGCUGUCGAGAUGCCUAAAAAGCAUUUCAUAGCAAGGGCCGGGCAAGACCGGUGCCAGCCGCCGCGGUAACACCGGCGGCUCGAGUGGUAACCGUUAUUAUUGGGUCUAAAGGGUCUGUAGCCGGCCGGAUAAGUCUCUUGAGAAAUCUGGCAGCUUAACUGUCAGGCUUUCAGGAGAUACUGUCUGGCUCGAGGCCGGGAGAGGUGAGAGGUACUUCAGGGGUAGGGGUGAAAUCUUGUAAUCCUUGAAGGACCACCAGUGGCGAAGGCGUCUCACCAGAACGGACCUGACGGCAAGGGACGAAAGCUAGGGGCACGAACCGGAUUAGAUACCCGGGUAGUCCUAGCCGUAAACGAUACUCGCUAGGUGUCGGCCACGGUGCGACCGGUGUCGGUGCCGUAGGGAAGCCGUGAAGCGAGCCACCUGGGAAGUACGGCCGCAAGGCUGAAACUUAAAGGAAUUGGCGGGGGAGCAC